GUACUCGCUUCAGCAGCACAUAUACUAAAAUUGGAACGAUACAGAGAAGAUGUACAUGGCCCUUGUGCAAACACACAAAUUCGUGAAGCGUUCCAUAUUAAA